UGGUUCCCGCAUCGAUGAAGAACGCAGCGAAACGCGAUAGUUAAUGUGAAUUGCAGAAUUCAGUGAAUCAUCGAGUCUUUGAACGCACAUUGCGCCUUUUGGUAUUCCGAGAGGCACGCCUGUCUGAGCGUCAGUAAAACCCUUCGGUAGUAAUUCAUUACCACCGGCGUUGGCGGCGGGCGGUCCCCCCGGGACCCCCCCGCUUAAACCUGGCGUGGGCAAGCCGGUUUGGUACCCUGCAAUAGUAAUUUCUCUUUGCACACCCAACCCGCGCAAACCCCUCAAAAAGUUCAUUCAUUUUGACCUCAGAUCAGACGAGGAUACCCGCUGA
rnacentral:misc_RNA from 1 species